rnacentral:rRNA from 1 species
UACGUAGGGGGCAAACGUUGUUCGGAAUCACUGGGCGUAAAGGGUGCGUAGGCUGAUGGAUAAGUUAGUGGUGAAAUGCCCGGGCUCAACUUGGGCGCUGCCACUGAUACUGUCCUGUCUUGAGUUGUUAAUAGAGGUGACGGGAAUUCCAGGUGUAGGGGUGAAAUCUGUAGAUAUCUGGAGGAACACCGAUGGCGAAGGCAAGUCACUGGGUAGCAACUGACGCUGAGGCACGAAAGCUAGGGGAGCAAAUGGG